AACGAACGCUGGCGGCAUGCCUAACACAUGCAAGUCGAACGAUGCUUUCGGGCAUAGUGGCGCACGGGUGCGUAACGCGUGGGAAUCUGCCCUUGGGUUCGGAAUAACAGUGAGAAAUUGCUGCUAAUACCGGAUGAUGUCUUCGGACCAAAGAUUUAUCGCCCAGGGAUGAGCCCGCGUAGGAUUAGCUAGUUGGUGGGGUAAUGGCCUACCAAGGCGACGAUCCUUAGCUGGUCUGAGAGGAUGAUCAGCCACACUGGGACUGAGACACGGCCCAGACUCAGACGGGAGGCAGCAGUGGGGAUUAUGGGAAAAGGGGCGUAAGGCUGUACAGGCAAUGCCGCGGGAGUGAUAAAGGCCUUAGGGUUGUAAAGAUCUUUUACCCGGGAUGAUAAUGAAGGUGCGGGGAGAAUAAGCUCCGCAUAACUCCGU
rnacentral:rRNA from 1 species